rnacentral:rRNA from 1 species
CUGUAAGCCGAUGAAGGUGUAUUGAGAAGUAUGCUGGAGGUAUCAGAAGUGCGAAUGCUGACGUGAGUAACGACAAAACGGGUGAAAAACCCGUUCGCCGAAAGACCAAGGGUUCCAGUCCAACGUUAAUCGGGGCUGGGUGAGUCGACCCCUAAGGCGAGGCCGAAAGGCGUAGUCGAUGGGAAAUUGGUUAAUAUUCCAAUACUUCUGUGUAAUGCGAUGAGAGGACGGAGAAGGUUAAGUCAGCCUGGCGUUGGUUGUCCAGGUGGAAGGAUGUAGGUAUGUAUCUUAGGCAAAUCCGGGGUACUCUAUACUGAGAUCCGAUAGCAAGCUGUACUUGUACAGUGAAGUGGCUGAUACCAUGCUUCCAGGAAAAGUCUCUAAGCUUCAGUUACACAGGAAUCGUACCCGAAACCGACACAGGUGGUCAGGUCGAGUAGACCAAGGCGCUUGAGAGAACUCUGCUGAAGGAACUAGGCAAAAUGGUACCGUAACUUCGGGAGAAGGUACGCUGUUGUUGGUGAUGGAACUUGCUUCCUGAGCUGACGACAGCCGCAGAAACCAGGCCGCUGCAACUGUUUAUUAAAAACAUAGCACUCUGCAAACACGAAAGUGGACGUAUAGGGUGUGAUGCCUGCCCGGUGCUGGAAGGUUAAUUGAUGGGGUUAGCGUAAGCGAAGCUCUUGAUCGAAGCCCCAGUAAACGGCGGCCGUAACUAUAACGGUCCUAAGGUAGCGAAAUUCCUUGUCGGGUAAGUUCCGACCUGCACGAAUGGCAUAAUGAUGGCGGCGCUGUCUCCAGCAGAGGCUCAGUGAAAUCGAAAUCGCUGUGAAGAUGCAGUGUACCCGCGGCUAGACGGAAAGACCCCGUGAACCUUUACUGCAGCUUGACACUGAACUUUGACCUUACUUGUGUAGGAUAGGUGGGAGGCUUUGAAGUUGGAACGCUAGUUCCAAUGGAGCCGUCCUUGAAAUACCACCCUGGUAAUGUUGAGGUUCUAACUCUGUCCCGUUAUCCGGGACGAGGACCGUGUCUGGUGGGUAGUUUGACUGGGGCGGUCUCCUCCUAAAGAGUAACGGAGGAGUACGAAGGUGCGCUCAGCGUGGUCGGAAAUCACGCGUAGAGUAUAAAGGCAAAAGCGCGCUUAACUGCGAGACCCACAAGUCGAGCAGGUACGAAAGUAGGUCUUAGUGAUCCGGUGGUUCUGUAUGGAAGGGCCAUCGCUCAACGGAUAAAAGGUACUCUGGGGAUAACAGGCUGAUACCGCCCAAGAGUUCAUAUCGACGGCGGUGUUUGGCACCUCGAUGUCGGCUCAUCUCAUCCUGGGGCUGAAGCAGGUCCCAAGGGUAUGGCUGUUCGCCAUUUAAAGAGGUACGCGAGCUGGGUUUAGAACGUCGUGAGACAGUUCGGUCCCUAUCUACCGUGGGCGCUGGAAAUUUGAGAGGAUCUGCUCCUAGUACGAGAGGACCAGAGUGGACGAACCUCUGGUGUACCGGUUGUGACGCCAGUCGCAUCGCCGGGUAGCUAUGUUCGGAAGGGAUAACCGCUGAAAGCAUCUAAGCGGGAAGCCUACCUCAAGAUAAGAUUUCCCUAGGAAUUUAUUCCUCUAAAGAGCCGUUCGAGACUAGGACGUUGAUAGGUUGGAUGUGGAAGCAUAGUGAUAUGUGAAGCUGACCAAUACUAAUUGCUCGUGAGGCUUGACUAUA